CUGGGGUAGAAAAUAACCUUACACUUAGUGAACGAUCAUACUGGGACAGAGAGAGGAACUAAAGCUUCAGGGGAAAGGUCCUUCUGACAGGUUCAUGCAGCAAGCACCAGGAAGUGGUUUGGGAUGACCCAAUCAGCUGGGAUCAAAGACGAACGGCAGCUGCACUGCUCCAGAGACUCAGAUGUCCAUAUGUCUGGUCUGAAACCACCUGUCAGCCUGAGAAUGGAAUAAAUCACCUUGCACCAUACCAUACCUUUCCCAAUGCGGAUCACAUGGCCAACAAGAGGGAGCAUAAGGUGACACCAGUCUUCACGUCAAGUUAGUUAUGGUGCCAGGCUCCACACUGGACAUGGGGCUCAAGCUCACGACCCCAAGAUCAAGAACCACAUGCUCGCCAAUGGAGCCAUCCAGGCACCCCAAGAUGACUUCUUUCUCUUUGGGUCUCUGUUGGUUUCCAGUUCCCAGCUUACUCCUGAUUCUCAGUAAUCCAUUGACACCCAGGUAUCUGCUUAGUGCCCUGGCCUCCUGGCUGGGGUUCUUGGACAUACUCCUGACUUCUAGCUGCACUGGAGUCCUCAUCCCCCAGGUACAGGUUCCAGCCCCUGACACCGCUUGGCCCUCUCCCCACCCUGAUCAGUUUCAGCUGUUGCCACCCACACCCUAUUUUGAAAUCACGAGUGAUUAUCUGCACAUAAGCAGGACGCUCUCUUUAACUGAGGAUAAAGAGGUCCGUGUUUCAAAGGUCAUUGCUUCCAAAUUCAAGAAUUGUAAGAUCUAUGAAGAACCGGAGAUAAACUAGAUGAAAAAAACAAGCCUUAGUGAUUCUUUUUUGGUACAAAGAUGUUUCACAUGUUAUUUAUAAAAUUGAAAUAUCCAGCAAUUCGUUUGUAGUUGAACGAAUUAAGAUGUAGCUUCAAGAUGAAAUAUUGCCUAGCUAUUGAUAUUGAUAUAUAGUAAAAGUCUUUAAUGAUGAAGUUAAUGCUUUUAAUAUAAUGUUUAUUAAAAAUCAGGAUUAAAAUUACAUAUAAAGAAUCUCAAUUAUGUAAAAUACACAUAGGGAUUUAAGCAAAAUAUUGUAUCUUGAUAGUUACUCUUUUCUAUGCUUUUCUGUACUUUGUAAAAUGAGAAUGUCUUCCUUUUAUUUUUUUUUUCAAGAUUUUAUUUAUUUAUUUAUUUAUUUGAGGAUGGGGAGGGGCAGAAGGAGUGGGAGAAGCAGACUCCCUGCUGAGUGUGGAGACUGAUGCCUGCUCAAAGUGGGCUGGAUCCCAGGACCCAAAGAUCAUGACCUGAACUGAAGUCGGAUGUUUAACAGACUGAGCCACCCAGACACCCCUGUAUUCCUUUUAUAAUCAGAAAAAGGGUAUAUAAACUUUUUAAAAAAAUAACUAUACUGAAGUGUAUUUUACAUAUAAAAUUUAUUCAUUGCAAGUAUACAAUUCACUGAUUUUUAGUAACUUUACCAAGUGGUGCAAUCAUCACCACGAAUAAGUUUUAGAUCCAAUAAGAUCUUUCAUGCUUUGACAGUUAAUACUCCUUUCCACCCUCUGUCCCAAGCACCCACUGAUCUUUUUGUCUCUGUAAAUUUGCCUUUCCUGGACUUCUCAUGUAAAUAGGAUUACAUGGGAUGCUGGUUCUCAGGUCUGGCUUCUCUCGUUAAGCAGAAUGUUUUGGAGGCUCAUCCAUGAAACAUGCAUCUGUUUGCGCCCCUUUAUUAUUCAGUAUUUUAUUAUGUAAAUGUGUUGUAUUGUGUUUAUUUCUUCAUCAACUGAUGGACAUUUAGGUUGUUUCCAGUUUGAGGCUAUUAUGAAUAAUGUGGCUAUGAGCAGUCGUGUGCAAGUCUUUGUGUUUUCAUUUCUCUGGGUACCUAGGAGUGAAAUGUUGGGUCACAUGGUAGAUUUAUGUUUAACUUUUUGAGAAACUGCUAAAGUGUUUUCUAAAGUGGCUACAUUGACUCUUAUAAAUUCCACCCUAGGACUUAAAGUUCACCUCUCAGCAUUUAGAUGUGCCCCUAGAUCUGGCUCUUCCAUCCUUUCUUAAGCAGAUCUAGCUAGUGACUUGAGGGGAUAGUAUUAUAAAACUUAAAACCAUAUUGUCCUAUGAUAUAAUUUUAGAAAUUAUUAUUUUUUUUAAAGAUUUUAUUUAUUUAUCAGAGAGAGGGGGGGGGGAGAGAGCGAGCACAGGCAGACAGAAUGGCAGGCAGAGGCAGAGGGNNNNNNNNNNNNNNNNNNNNNNNNNN
ensembl:lincRNA